UUUCAUUUUCUUUUGUCACCGUUUCUUCCCUGCCGAGCCACCCGCGCGCCCCUCUUCUCUCCCUGUCGCAAUCUUUGCCCUAACCGCCGGCCACGGCAGUUCCUCCGCCUCCACCUCUUCUUCUCUUCUCCCAAGUGCCGGCAACACUUCCGCCCAGCCGUGCCCUAGAACGAGCGUCGGAGCCGAUCCUUAGCCGCGUCGCUGCCACUCCUUCCCGACGCCUUCCUCUCCUCUGCCCGACGCCGACGACGCCAGGGAAUAGAGAGCAGACGAUUGAGUGUCUUCUCGUCCCCCUGUGCUCGCAUACCACCGACCGCCCCAUGCCCUAGCUUCACUGCCCGACGCUUACUUCGAUCGCCGAUGCCCUAGCCGUCUCCACUGCCGAUCCUCUGCCCUAUUUGUAAGCCGAGGCUUUUGGAUUUGGGUCUUCUUCUUCCUUUUCCUCCCUGUUCAAGCACUGCCGACGCUGUGCCCUAGUCGAGCCCCGCUGAAGUUGUGCCCUUGCACUGCCGCCGGCCACAGAAUAAGGUUUUUAAUCUGCUGCGGCUAAAUUGGUUUUCUGAUCAGUUGAGCGUCAACAGGAGCUUGGGAUUUAGUAACUUUGUGAUCCCCAGCAGCGGCUCUGAUCUUGUUUCGGCAGCCAACAUCUUUGAUUUUUAGAUCAACAGUGAUACAUACGAAUUGAGGACUUUGAUUCGAGACGGUGUCUCGACGAGGGAUCUAUUCCAGAUUGGACUUUUCUUAUCG